rnacentral:rRNA from 1 species
GACGAACGCUGGCGGCGUGCUUAACACAUGCAAGUCGAACGGUGACGGAGGAGCGUGCUCCUCCCGAUCAGUGGCGAACGGGUGAGUAACACGUGAGUAACCUGCCCCAGACUCUGGGAUAACCUCGGGAAACCGGGGCUAAUACCGGAUACGAGACGCUCGGGCAUCCGAAGCGUCUGGAAAGAUUUAUCGGUCUGGGAUGGACUCGCGGCCUAUCAGCUUGUUGGUGAGGUAAUGGCUCACCAAGGCGACGACGGGUAGCCGGCCUGAGAGGGCGACCGGCCACACUGGAACUGAGACACGGUCCAGACUCCUACGGGAGGCAGCAGCAAGGAAUUUUGCGCAAUGGGCGAAAGCCUGACGCAGCAACGCCGCGUGGGGGAAGAAGGCCUUCGGGUUGUAAACCCCUUUUGCGAGGGAAGAAGAUCUGACGGUACCUCGCGAAUAAGCCACGGCUAACUACGUGCCAGCAGCCGCCGUAA